CAAUAAUUAGACAAGAUCAUCAACUAACACGUGGGUAGUCAGAAAAUGACUCCUCUGCUUCUACGCCGCUCUCGAAUCCAAGAAUCUGAAUACAAAAAUGUUUAAUCAAAAGGGCGAUUCCAAUUUCCAAUGUCUCGUGACAAUUACAAUUGCUGCCUCUCAACUCAACUGUCUUAUCACGCUGAAGAUAUUAAUAUAGAGCAUGCUUCUCUGCGUUUCAUGCCCAUUUCUCGUUCUUCAUCUUAAAUUAGCACUACGAUUAUGUUGAUAACAAAUAUGGUACUGGGUUCUUCUCUUUAUACCAAUUUCAAUCAUUCUCGAUUGCCACCAAUUUUUGGGUAAUUGAUUCACUAUUCUGCUUUAAUUAAAGAUUAUUAUGCUAGUUUAGUUAUAUAUUUUCCAUUUUUGAUAGAUUUUUGUCUGUACAUUUGCUUCACAGACUAAACUCACGUGAAAGAGCUUUAUUUGCCAGGCAGAAAUUAAUCAGCAAAGUGAGCU
rnacentral:lncRNA from 1 species